UGGGGAAUAUUGCACAAUGGGCGAAAGCCUGAUGCAGCGACGCCGCGUGAGGGAUGACGGCCUUCGGGUUGUAAACCUCUUUCAGCAGGGACGAAGCGCAAGUGACGGUACCUGCAGAAGAAGCACCGGCUAACUACGUGCUAGCAGCCGCGGUAAUACGUAGGGUGCAAGCGUUGUCCGGAAUUACUGGGCGUAAAGAGUUCGUAGGCGGUUUGUCGCGUCGUUUGUGAAAACCAGCAGCUCAACUGCUGGCUUGCAGGCGAUACGGGCAGACUUGAGUACUGCAGGGGAGACUGGAAGUCCUGGUGUAGCGGUGAAAUGCGCAGAUAUCAGGAGGAACACCGGUGGCGAAGGCGGGUCUCUGGGCAGUAACUGACGCUGAGGAACGAAAGCGUGGGUAGCGAACAGG
rnacentral:rRNA from 1 species